GAUUACCUGGGCAGCCAGGCAUCCAGGGCAUCCCUGGUCCUCGAGGGGAUCCUGGGACACGGGGGCCCAUGGGACUUACUGGCCCAAAGGGGCAGAAAGGUGAACCGGGAGAGCCCAGGGUGAUCACGGAUGGACAACAGAGGCUACCAGGCCAGAAAGGGGAG